rnacentral:rRNA from 1 species
CCUACGGGAGGCAGCAGUAGGGAAUCUUCCGCAAUGGACGAAAGUCUGACGGAGCAACGCCGCGUGAGCGAAGAAGGUCUUCGGAUCGUAAAGCUCUGUUGUUAGGGAAGAACAAGUACGGGAGGAAAUGACCGUACCUUGACGGUACCUGACGAGGAAGCCACGGCUAACUACGUGCCAGCAGCCGCGGUAAUACGGAGGUGGCAAGCGUUGUACGGAAUUAUUGGGCGUAAAGCGCGCGCAGGCGGUCUUUUAAGUCUGAUGUGAAAUCUUGCGGCUCAACCGCAAGCGGUCAUUGGAAACUGGGAGACGUGAGUGCAGAAGAGGAAAGCGGAAUUCCACGUGUAGCGGUGAAAUGCGUAGAUAUUAGGAGGAACACCAGUGGCGAAGGCGGCUCUCUGGACUGCAACUGACGCUGAGGCACGAAAACGUGGGGAGCGAACGGGAUUAGAUACCCUAGUAGUC